rnacentral:rRNA from 1 species
CGAAGGGGGGCCUAGCGUUGCUCGGAAUCACGUGGGCGUAAAGCGCACGUAGGCGGAUGGUUAAGUCAGGGGUGAAAUCCUGGAGCUCAACUCCAGAACUGCCCUUGAUACUGGCCAUCUCGAGUCCGGAAGAGGUAAGUGGAACUCCGAGUGUAGAGGUGAAAUUCGUAGAUAUUCGGAAGAACACCAGUGGCGAAGGCGGCUUACUGGUCCGGUACUGACGCUGAGGUGCGAGAGCGUGGGGAGCAAACAGGAUUAGAUACCCUGGUAGUCCACGCCGUAAACGAUGGAGGCUAGCCGUUGGUGAGCAUGCUCAUCAGUGGCGCAGCUAACGCAUUAAGCCUCCCGCCUGGGGAGUACGGUCGCAAGAUUA